AGCUCUAAUAGCGUAUACUAAAGUUGUUGUGGUUAAAAAGCUCGUAGUUGGAUCUCAGUUCUGGUCAGACGGUCCACUUGCCAGUGGUUACUGUUUGGCCGAACACUUUAUCGACUCUGUCUACGGUACUCUUAACCGAGCGUCGUAGGCGAUCGAUACGUUUACUUUGAAAAAAUUAGAGUGCUCAAAGCAGGCUUUAAAAGCCCGAAUAAUGUUGCAUGGAAUAAUGGAAUAGGACCUCGGUUCUAUUUUGUUGGUCUUCGGAAUCCCGAGGUAAUGAUUAAGAGGGACAGACGGGGGCAUUCGUAUUGCGACGCUAGAGGUGAAAUUCUUGGACCGUUGCAAGACGAACUAAAGCGAAGGCAUUUGCCAAGAAUGUUUUCA
rnacentral:rRNA from 1 species